rfam:Gossypium arboreum cultivar AKA8401 contig_15486_5, whole genome shotgun sequence.
UAUUAAAAAAUUUAUCCAUUUGUAUCAUUAAAGUUAGCGUAGUUGAGAGAAUAAUUAGAUACUGACACGUGGUAUGUCACAAGUACCUCAUACUGACGUAUAAUGACUUAUUUUUAAAAGUAAAAAAAGGAUGAAACUUUUAACA